CAAAAAGUACACAUGGGUGAGAAUUCUUGGGACCGACAACCCAAUCCAAGCUGUAUUACGGUAAGCAUGUUAAGCAGCGGUCCCAUUUAAGAUAACAAAUCCUGGGCAACAUAAACCAGUGGAAACACACUGUAUGGAGUUCUUUUGUCAGCGUGUGUAUCACAUGUAUAAUUUUCUUGUACCCAAAUAAUCAAACCAAAAAUCGUUCUGCUUCACAUAGCACACAAAUGCAUACAGACCUCGGACCGCCAUUGUGAUAUGGUACAGAAUCUUAUAGCCACUCACCAUGAAUUUAUUUUGGUGCCCCUUCAAACUGAUCUCGCAGCAACUCAUACUUUUUAAGCUCUGCCAUUGAAAGGGAAGGAGACAGCUCACCCAAUACCUUUAUAAAGUCGUCAUAUUCAACAACCACUGAAUCAGCUUGAUGGACUUGGGAAGAAGACUCUGAUUCAGAACUCAAAACCUUGCGCUUUGCAGCAUGAAACCAAGCAUCUGCACAUAAAGCAUACAUGUCUGCACCAGUGAAGUUUGGAGGGCAUUUCUUUGCUAUUGAGUAAAGAGAGACAUCUUGGUGCAAUGUGAACUUACGGGUAAGUGCCUUAAGGACCCGCUCCCUGUAAGAUGCAUCAGAGUUAACUCCAACAUAUAGCAGCUUAUCAAAUCGGCCAGGCCGAAGAAGUGCUGGAUCAAUUAGAUCUGGUCUGUUGCUUGCCCCUAUGAUAAAUAGGUCUUGUGUAGAAUCAUUUAGGCCAUCGAUCUCUGCAAGCAUCUGAGAAACUACUCUGUCCAUAACACCACCAGAAUCUCCUGAGGCACCACGAGCUGGAGCAAGAGAAUCAAGUUCAUCAAAGAAUAUUACACAGGGGCGUGCUGAUCUUGCCUUCUGGAAAAUGUCACGGACAUUUUUCUCUGAUUCUCCUAUGUACAUGUUGAUCAAUUCAGGCCCUUUUACACUUAGAAAAUUUAAGGAACACUCUGUUGCUACAGCUUUUGCAAGUAAAGUCUUUCCUGUCCCCGGAGGACCAUAUAGCAGAACACCAGAGCGCUUGCGCAACCCAGAUGAAAACAAAUCCUUAUGCAGGAGAGGUAACUGAACAGUAUCCAAAAUUGAUUUCUUCACCUCCUCUAGCCCACCAACAUCUUCCCAUUUCACAUUAGGAACCUUUGGGGUACCCAAUGCCAAUGCAUUCCUCUUCUUAGACCGCUCCAAGGCUCUCGGCAAAUAUUCUUUCCCCAUAACCUGAGGUAUAUCAUUGCAUGUUUCCUGGUCCUGCACUGCUUUGGCUCCAAGAGAACUAUCCGUGUCCUCGAGCUUAGCUUCAUCAACUUGAAUAUUGCACUUUGAGAUUAAGAUUGCACC
rnacentral:misc_RNA from 1 species